CGGGAUAUAGCGCAGUUUGGUAGCGCGCCUGCUUUGGGAGCAGGAUGUCGGGGGUUCGAAUCCCUCUAUCCCGACCA
rnacentral:tRNA from 3 species